CCCAUUAAAAUCCUACGUGAUUGGGAUCGGGAAUUGCAAUUAUUUCCCUUGAACGAGGAAUUCCCAGUAAGUGUGGGUCAUAAGCUCGCGUUGAUUACGUCCCUGCCCUUUGUACACACCGCCCGUCGCUGCCCGGGACUGAGCCGUUUCGAGAAAAGCGGGGACUGCUGCUGUCGGGGCUUUCGGGCCUUGGCUUCGGUGGAAACCGCUUUAAUCGCAGUGGCUUGAACCGGGCAAAAGUCGUAACAAGGUUUCCGUAGGUGAACCUGCGGAAGGAUCAUUAUCGAG
rnacentral:rRNA from 1 species